ensembl:lncRNA
GAGGCUAGGGGUUGAAUCGGAGCUGUAGCUGCUGGACAACGCCACAGCCACAGUAACGUGGGAUCUGAGUCUCGUCUGUGACCUACACAACAGCUCAUGGCAACACUAGAUCCUUAACCCACUGAGCAAGGCCAGGGAUUGAACCCACAUCUUCAUGGAUACUAGUCGGGUUUGGGUUCAUUAACCACUGAGCAAUGAUGGAGACUCCUCUACCACAUAUUAAUCCAUUUAUCUGUCAAUGGAUAUUUAAGUUGCUUCCAUAUCUUGGCUAUUGUGACUAGUGCUGCAGUGAACACAGUAUGUAUCUUUUUGAAUGAAAAUUUUGUCCAGAUAUAUGCCAAAGAGUGGGAUUGCUAGAUCACAUGAUAGUUCUAUAUUGAGUUUUCCGAGGAAGCUCCACAGUUUUCCAUGGCAGUUGUACCAAUUUACAUUCCCACCAAUAGCAUAAUCCUCUCCAGCAUUUGUUAUUUUUAGACUUUAAUUAAUGAUGGCCAUUCUGACUAGUGUGAGGUGAUACCGCACUGUAGUUUUGAUUUGCAUUUCUCUAAUGAUUAGCGAUGUUGAGCAUUUUUUCAUGUGCCUGUUGGCCACCCAUAUGUCUUCUUUGAGAAAUGUCUAUUUAGGUUUUUUGCCCAUUUUUUAAUUGAGGUGUUUUUGUUUGUUUGUUGCUGUUGAGUCGUAGAGUUGUUUGUAUAUUUUGGAGCUUAACCCUUGUAGGUUGCACUGUUUGCAGCUAUUUUCUACCUUUCCAUACCUUGUCUUUUCAUUUUUUAAAUGGUUUCCUUUGCUGUGCCAAAAUGAUUGUUAUUUCCAUUUCAUCUCUACUUAAUUUGUUAAAAGAAAACAUACUUGAUGUCAAAAGCAAAAUAUAGACAGACAGGUAGGAGGCUUGUAUGAAUACUGUUUCUCAUAGCAGGGUUUGAAUGCUCUUUUGAAGAUUCAUCCAUCUCAUUAGUAAAUAUCAAUUCUCUUCCUUUCUUUUCUUUCUUUCUUUCUUUCUUUCUUUCUUUCUUUCUUUCUUUCUUUCUUCCUUCCUUCCUUCCUUCCUUCCUUCCUUCCUUUCUUCCUUUCUUCCUUUUUCCUCAGUAUUUUUUCUAUCCCUGAUCAGGGUACAGGUUAUGAAAGGUGGAAAAAAAUUAAAUCAAGAGAGGUUUUGGUCUGUUUGCCCUCCAGGACUUAAAAAUCUUACUAAAGAUUAGCACUUAGUACUUUAAAUAUAUCAAUCCAUUAGAAGAUAUUUGGCUAAUUUAGGUGAAUAAUUGAAAUUAAAAAAAAUUAAUUAUUGUAUCAUAAAAAAUAUAAAUUAUUUGAAUUCCCCUACAUUCAGAUGGAUUUUUACUAUCAAAGAACUCAAUAAAUACUUAUUGAGCACCUACUCCCUACUAAGCAUUGCUCUGGAAGCUAAAUAGAGAACGGUAAACAAAGUAAACAAAAAUCCCUGCCUUUUUGGGGCUGUCAUUCGGCUUGAGUCAGUGGUAUGUUCAGUGAAAGAUGUACAUCAGAAUUAUGCAUGGAACAGUUUAAAGACGCAGAGUUCUUGCCAUUAGAGUCCUAGGACAUUUGCAUGUUUUAUAAAUUUCACAGCGAGUUCUGAUUAGGAACUCAGACUGAGAAACCUUUGUAGAGAGAAGUGGUGAUGCUCAUAUUUUUCCUCCAUUGAAACCAUUCCUGCUCCCCUUUUCUUAUCAAAUCCACAUCUUUGGUCAAACAUGGAGAGCAAUGUGAGAAAACACAAGGCACAAAAUUCUUGCUUUGAGAAGGCAUGGUUUGCUCAGUAUCUUAAAUGUAUUGAUCAAAAUGUUGUAAAUCAAUUUUGCAAGUAUAAAUAAUGUUUUUAAUUCAUUAGAAAUAUUCAUGUGUAGAGGAAGGCUGUUGAAAUAAGAAUGAAGAAAUGAUCUUGUUUUAAUUUGAAUAAACACCUAUAGAUCUCACUG